AGCCAGGCGCAUUGGCGGCUGCCGUUAAGUCCCAACUAUGACCCAGACUGAGGUGGGAGCAUCGCUGGAGCCCAAGAGUCCGAGUCCAACCUGGGCGACGUACCCCCUGAUUAUGUAAUGAGAGCUAACAGUGACAGCUCGAAAUGGCUUCCAUGUAGGAGCCCACUGAAGCCCACUGAAGCCUGGCUGGAACCAUCAGAGAUGAGUUCUAUCAUCACUUUCGUGGAAAUGGAAACACAGUGUCUAGCUAAGACAAGAAAUCUCUGUUCGGAAAUACAGUUUGGUUGACUUGCUAAGGAGACUGGGCUGAGCACUGUGAUAAGCCAUCUUGCAGGGAUACACUUAAGCACUUUGCAAUCAAUGGAUGGAAGGAAGGAAACCUUUUCUUCUCUGGCAGCUACUGAGAUACCCACGGAACUAACAAGGAAACAAGGAAGUGAGACAUGAAGUAGCUUGCAUUGCUGACGAUUCCUUAAUGAUGGAACAAGACUGACACCCAGAAUGAAAGGAUUUUAAUAACAAAUAAUGUCACUGGUAUGUGGAAAGCGCAAAAGUAAUGACAUAGACCUUCGUUAGAAUCUUGACACUGUCACUUAACAACAGUGACUUUAAGCGUGGGUUUUCUCAUCUGAAAAAUGGGAGAAGAGAGGUUUUUAA